UAUUGAAAUUAUGGCAAUUACAUUUCAGGACUGACCUGGAAUGAAGCCAAUACUAAUUGCUAAUCACUU
ensembl:snoRNA